rnacentral:lncRNA from 1 species
UUAUUCUGCUGUGGUUCAACAACCUGAUUAUUUUUAGAUAGAAAUUUAAGGUAAAAUGGCACAUGGAUAUAUUUAGAGAGGACUGCAGCUGGAGUCCAGCUAUCACAGAAAGCAUUCUGGCAUUUGCUUGGGGAAGAUAUAGCUUUCAAGGGGCAGGGGUUCAGUAAUAGCAGGUCACUAACAACUGUUUCAGGGAGUCACUGAUUCCUGGAAGCAAUGACUGGUGUCUUGACACCCUGGAAGUUUUCCCAAAUGACUUGGCUAGAGUAGAUAAAGCUCAUUUUAUGCCGUUGAUCGUAUGUAUUUUCUUGCUGAUCAUGGAAGAUGGGAGCAAGAAAGGACACUAUGUUUGAUUUGAUUUUGCAGGGAAUAGAGCGACUCAUUAGUCAUUCAGUCAAACAUCCAACAAACAUUUAUUGAGCAUUUACAAUGUACCAUGUUAUUAGAUGCAAGAGAUACAAUGGUGAGGAAAAACAAAUAUUCCCAUGUCUUCAUGAAGCUCAAGACUUAACAGGUAGGAUUAACAUUAACCAGAUAAUCACAUAAAUAAAUGUAAAGUUGCCACUAUGAUGAAUGCUGCCAAUGAAUAGUCUAGUGCUAUCAGGGCAUGCAAGAGGGGAAUCUGGCAUAGUCGAGAUACAGCAAGGCUUCCCUGGAGAAGACACCACUGAAAUCAAGUCUGAAAAGUGAGUAAAAAUUAAUAAAUGAAAGGAAAUUUGAGACUGUCCUAUGUACUCAGAGCAAAAUGUGCCAAAGCCCUGCUGCUGAAGGAGCAUGCAUGUUUGGGGGACUGGUAGGUCAGUGCAGCUGAAGCAGAGAGAGAGAAGACAGGCUAUUAUAAGAUAAGCCUGAAGAGGUAGGAUGAGGUCAACCUUAGAGGACCCUGUACACCACAUUAAGGCCUCAUAUUUUCAGCCAUGUAGGCAAAAUUGGGGCAAACAUACUUUUAAAAGGGAUAAUGGAUCCUUAUAAAAGAAAUUAAGGUCAAUAUAUAUUCAUUGCUACUAUUUUGUGCAAGAAACUAUGCUAGGUCUGAAGAAGCUGCCAAAGGAGUACAACAUCUAUGUUCAUAAUGCAUAAGCAGUCCAAUGAAUAAACAGUGAAAUAUAUUCCAUGUUGUCAGAGAAUAUCUUUAAAUGAUAUGAAGAUUUACUGGAAGAAGACAUGUAACAUGACAAGAGGGAAUAGAAUCUGGGGAACACUUAAUAGAAAAAGGCUAAUGAACAGUCAAUAGAAUUUCUACUAGCAGAAAUGGAGAGUGUGGAGUUAGUGCUAUUGACAGAGUUAUCAAUGUGAGCAAAACCAAACACCAAAAGUGGACCAUGUCCAUUGUCUUUGGGGAGAACAGUAGAAACUUCAGGGAGGUUGUGAUACAGGCACCACCUGGAGAUGGUACAACAGAACAAUGUCUUACUUUUACAUUGUACCCUACAUUUAUAAUCUCAAUAGAUCUCCAAAAGAACACUAUGAAAGAAAUAGGGAAGCUUUAGCAGUUAUCUUCAUUUUACUGAAAUGUAGAGUGUAUAAAUAAUUUUUCCAAGAACACACAACUGGCAAAUGAUUGAUCCACAAUUAAAAUACAGAUUGCAAGUUUCCACUGCUUCACUGAGUCACAAAUUUCAAUCAUUCAGAAUCCAUCUUUAUGGUUUCACUACAUCUGGAUAUCACUUUACUAUCAUACACUUAACGUUUAUCUUUUAAUUGACUAAUUCUUUUUCCUUAAAAUUUUUUAAAAGGAAACUAUCACCCCCUAAGAGGAAGCCAAUAUCAUUUGUCACAAGUUUAAAGAUGCUGCUUGCCUCACAUCUACAACCGUUCCACUGACCAACCCACGUCAAAUGGCCAUGGACAAAGCUAAUGGGAUGGAAAAGUAUACUCCACCUAUGGGGAAGUAGAGACGGCGUUUCACCACGUUAACCAGGCUGGCCUUGAUCUCCUGACCUCGUGAUCCACCCAUCUCAGCCUCCCAAAGUUCUGGGAUUACAGGUGUGAGCCACUGCGCCCAGUCAACAUGUAAUUUUUUAGUGGGAAAAAGCAUGGAUUAUUGCAAAAAUCAAGAUGCAGACAAAAUGGCAAAUCUGAGAAGAGAUGGACAGGCAAAAUGGAGCACAACGGAGUCACUACUGCUACGUCAGUGUGGAGUCGCACCUUGAGCCAUAGUGUUACUUAACCAUGUUCCUUGAUGGCACACAGAAUGUUAUACUGUAAUAUAGAUGUAAAUAUUAAUAUAAUAUAGAAGCAUAUAGUAUAUAUAUCAUACUGUAAUAUAGAAAUAAAUAUUAUACUUCUGGAAUUCUGGAAAUAGUUCUGUCUGUGAUGUCAUCGGAAAAAAAAACUUGAGGGCUGAGCUAUUUGUCCUCAGUGCCUAGGUUCUGUGGAACCCAGCACAGUGACUUUCAUCCCUGUGAAACCUCAACAAAACACUAGCGAAGGGUGGUCAUUCCCAGUUAUAUAAAGAUCUUUGAUGAUGAUAGGUACACCGGGGUUUCCAACUCAAAUAGUGCACAAGUGAGGAAAUAAUAAUAAAUAUAAGUAAAGUGGGCCAGGUAGAACUACAACAAGCUGGAGUACUCACAGCCCUUAUAAGGGCAGAGUCGCUAUCUGUACCAGCUGAUUGUUGCUAUGUGGAAAUGCAAGCCUAAAGCGCCAAAUACUCUGUUUUUUCCAAAAGAAGUGGGAAAUAGCCUGUAAGUGUCAAAACUAAUUCAACUUUUAAAAGAUCUCCAGGCAGCUCAAACAAAACCUAUCUACAGAUCCCCAGUUUGCAACCUCCUACCAUAAAAGGUCCAUGAGCUUGGUUUAAUGCAGGGUGAAGUUACUUAUCACCUUGGCAUCUCUAUUUGUCUAUCCAAAUAAUAGAGAUAACUAUAAUUCCUUUCUCAUAGCAUUGUUUGAGAAAUAAAAUGUGUUACUACAUGGUAAGCAUUUGCACUGUCUCAUUUUAUGCAUUUUUGUUAUUAAAAAUUAUAUUUUAUGUAUUUGCCUAGAUCCAUCUGAAUGCAAUAUGAUUGAAUAUGUAGUCUAUAAGUCAUAAUUCCCAUGUUUGAUUGCAUAAUCUCAAUAAAGAACCUCACCAAAUCCUUCAAGCUAUAUUAUACAUGAUACAUCCUAUCACAUUCGCAACUUGUGACUAUAGAAACUGAGGUAGAGAGAAGUCAAUUUGUUGUCCAGGUUUGCAAAGAGUCUCUGGCAAUAUAGGAAGUGUCUCCUUGUCUCAGUCACAAGUAUCCUGUAAACUGGAAUGGCCUCUACCAUUGACUUUCAUGAUCACUAAGUUUUCCUUGUGGUUCUCCACGCUUUGACCAUAUCAAAAAAAAACAAGGUUUAUAAAGACAUGGAUAAACUUUAGCCUCUAAAAAGGCUUUAGUUGUGGGUAGACUAUCUAUUUGUAUUCGGGUUUCUGUCUUUCAAGCUAAUUUGUAGAGCUUCACUAAGGAAUCCCACUAAGCAUCACUUAAGAACACAUUUUCAAACUGAAUCUGACAAAAGUAAACAUCCUUGAAAAAUAGGAGCACAGGUAUUCCAAUAUAAUAGCCCCUUGUUUCUCAAAGUGUGGUCCUGGGGCAGCAACAGCAGCAUUAGCUGGGUGCUUAUUAGACAUGCAGAAUCUUAGGCCUCACCCCAGACCUACCGAAUUAGAAUCUUCACUCCCAGGUGAUUUAUGUGUGCAUUAAAUUUGAAUAACACUACUAGCCAACUAAUCUCUAUAAUCUCCUGCAGCUUGUGUGUGACCAAGGAAAGGAAUAGCAAAAAAGGUUCACUUUACAUUUUACAGGGAAGGCUUUUACUAUUUGUUAACUCACUUGAGGGACAUAAACUGUCAAAAGCCAGCCCUCAGCAUCUGUUUAAUUAUACACCUCCAAUGAGUCUGAAAAUUAUGUAAGUUUGUCUUGGACCCAGGCCCUGUUUGCUGGGAGUUGCUUUCAGCUGAGACUGACCAGUGCAUUAUUGUCAGUCAACAUGGCCGCUGAGACCUGCUGCCCAUUUGUCCAAGGACAGCCAGUGAGAAUAUCCCUGUGUUGGUGUGGCCACAGAAUCAGAGAAAGGUGCUAAGUCCGAUAGACCAGUAAAUGUCUUAUCAUUGGCAGCCUUGCUCAUUCCCAAUGGAUGACAGAAGCAAGUAGGUACGCCAUGCUUUUGCAAAAAUGAGGAAAGGUAGGAAAGAAAGGAGAGAGGAUGAGAAGAAGGGAGGAAGGAAAUAAAAACAUUAUCAGGAUAUUUCUUUGCAACUCCCAUUUCCAUCCUUCUUUUGUUCUAGCUAUUGAAAAGCCAGUGCUUCUACAAGUCACCCUGGGCUAAUGAUAGAGCAAGAAAGAGGUAUUCUGUCAAUGACUCUACUAGAGGUAGGUGAGGGGAGACACAGGAUUUGAUAAUCUGUAGACCCACUUCACAGGUGGGAAAACUCUGCCAAGCUUAUUCCUUCACCUUGGUUAGACCCAAGGCAGACAAGCUCUGUUCCUUUAGUGAGGCUAUCCACUUCUAGCCUUGUGUUCAGGCAAGGAAAGGGUGGGUGUGGGUUCAUAGUUUGGCUUCCACAACCUGAUCCAUCCUGCCCUGUCCUGUCCAGUUGGCUGUGUAUCAGUCAACACUCAGUAGGCAGGAUAGCAUGCGACCACCUAUCGGCAUAGCUCAGUGGCUCUCACUGUAAGCAAUAUGCUAAAAUCCACCUUCUAGAAGAGAGAGGUUUAUAAAAUCAGCUCAUCUAUGUUUUAAAAAUUGUCUUAAAUUUUGCUCUAAAUUUUCUGAUUUUGUAGGUAAUACAGAUAUUCCUGAAAAACAGUAUGUGUGUGUACGUGCACUACUUGUUUAAAGAAAUCUCUUAGAGAAGAAUUGGCAGAAAGGCAGUUUACUGGGAACUUAUCCAGCCACGAUGGGUCUGGGCUAAAGUACAUUGGUUUCAUUCUUCAAGUUCUUCAGGUGUCACAGCACUCAACAAACAAAUAUUUUAAAAUACCUUCUAUGUGUUUAGCAUUGUGCUAAUUAACCUAAACCAAGUUGCUCAUAAUGAUAGGAAGAAUUAAUUAGUCAUGUUAAUAUUAUGUUAUUAUGUGAUCAGUAUAGGAGUAUUUGUGUAACACUAGUUCAGUAUGGGACACAUGCAAACAUAUUAAAAACUAAAAACAUGUUCUAGCUGUGAGUAAUUUUUCUUUUAAUAAUUGAGCUUUCAGAAACAUUUCCACAGAAGUCAUUGUCUCUAUACCAUAAGUUAUUUAAAUUGAAGAAAAGCUAUUUGUCAGCUCAACAGGACCUCAGAAUGCAUUACUCUUUUGCAGGAAAGCCAAGGCUUCCUCUGUUUGGGACUUAAGAGAGCAGAAUGUCAAGGUCUCCAGAGAACCUCAUGCAUGAACCAUUGUUUCAUCCAUCAUUUUUUAAAGCAACUAUUUUAGGUGAUUUCUUAUCUGAGCACGAGGAGGGGCGUCAUUCACAGACCCCUAAGAAGCAAGCACCAGGAGCAAGGAUCCCCCUUUGGCUCUCCCUGGCCAAUUAUCCCAUAUCAUAGCCCCUUUGGUUUCUCUUUACAUAGAUCACAAUUUAAAACUGUUUUAUUUAUGUGUCCAUUUAUUUACUUAGUAACUGCUACCUUCCCCCUCCUCUCUAGCCCUUAGUGAAAGCUCCAGGAAGUCAAGAAUCACACCUCUUUUUCCCUUUUUUAUCUCCAAUGUUUACCUCAGUGUCCAGUCUACAAUAAGAAGUCAAUAAAUAGUUUUGAAUUUUAAAAAUGAUGUCUGUUUUACCAAAGCAAAUCAGUGCCAAGGAAAAGGCAAGGCUGUGCCCAGCCUCACUCAGCAUUUGUCUUCCUCCUUCUGCUGUCUAGCUUAGUGUUGUGGGGGACACAGGUAUUCAUCAGAGAGCAUUUCCACCUUGUCAUGAAACGCUACCUUGUAAUCCAGUAGCUAUCACUGCAGUUAAAGCUGAGAAGCCAAAAGAUUUCAAAUAGGAAAACUCUCCAAAAUGAUAUCAUUAUCAAAUGCAUUUGCUAAACAUGUCUAGUGAGUGGCAUGUUGUUUAUGGUUUGGGAAGAGCCUGAAAAGAGUAACUCUUGCUUGCUAUUAUAAAACAUCACAGCAUUCCCUUUCAGGUGAAGUCUAUGUUAUCCAACCUGCAAAUGACUGGAGCA